UGGCCUGUUCUUGACCUAGUUAACGCAUGUAUAUUUGACCUACUUAACUCGUGUAGGCCCUCUACUCGACCAGGAACCGUUUAGAUUACUGGAUGACAUUUAACGCAAGUUGACAUUUAUCACUGACACACUGGCACUGCCUCCGUCACUGAAUUAAACACACGCCAUUAGCCAGCAACCAUUUUACUCACACUAGGCUAGUUGGAAAAAAAACAUGGCUCGCUCCAUCGAUCGGCCAUGUUCUGCACGCACGCGCUACGGCCGCGCUCAAUAAGUGGUCGAUGGCUCUAACUGCUUGAGCGCGACGCGGCAGCCAGUAGGUAGUGAAUCUGUUCAAAACAAAGCCUACUUGACAGAGAUAAGCUAUUAGCUUGACGCUGUCCGGAUCAAUUCUUUCUUCGUCAAUUUUCUGAGCAAAUAGCAAGUGCUGGCAAUUAGCCGUGACUAUAUAAGAUGAUGGAGAAAGAGGAACCCAACUCGACAUACAGAGGGAACGCUACACAGAGCGGAUCUAAGGGGCCGAGCUUCACGGCAGAUAAAAGCAAGAAUAAAAUGGCGGCCAAGACAAACAAGAAAUGGGUUCGGCUGGCCACUGUGUUGGCCUAUGUCCUAGCGGUCUCACUAGCGGCCAUAGUGUUGGCCACGUACUACAGUCUGAUCUGGGAACCACGACUGAAGAAAGUGAGUCCCACAGCUGAUGGUUUAAACUCCAGUACGAUAUCAUCAUUGAAUGUGAGCACAUCAAGCAAGUAGCACACCAGGAGACAUUUGUCAGUGAGGUGCAACUCCACCACUAUCAACACAAGCUUUAUUCUUGGAUGGAAACUUUUACAUGUUUUGAUUGGUGGAUAUUUUCUUGACUCUUCCUCUGGUGUUCAAGUCACAUCCUGUUCACUGUGAAAUGACCAAUCAUUUGUUGGGCAGAAAACAUUGUGAUAGACUAGUUACCUAGAGUACAGCUUCUCUGUACUAUUUCAUGGCAUGUGCAAUAAGGUCUACCUAACAUUGUAACCACCUUUUUUUUUUGUUUAAAUUUUGAAACUUGCAGUGAUAUGGUUGGUCAUGGGAUAUGUUUUCCAUCAAAGUUGAUCAAAACAAGAGAACUUCCCUACAUUUUCUCAGUGCCAUCAUUCACUGAGAAAUUUUUUUUUUUCAACUUAAAUUUGUCAUCAGUAAAAUUUUUAUAUGUAUUUUCUGUGACCUCCACAGUCUGUGCAAUGUCAAUUCAGCAUAUAUAUAUAUAUAUUUGUAUGUUUUAAAAAUUUUUUGUGAAUAUUUCUGAAAUCAAAUUUGGCUGGACCAAAUUUUGAAAAGCAUUAAGAUGAUUAAGUCCAUGAAAUCAAUGAAGAGGGGAUCUAAUUUCAUAGAACACAGUCAGCUAACUUAGCAAAUAAAAGAAUAGAAUGCAAAUAAUUUUUACCUGUUAAAAUGUCUAAAACAGGCUUGAAUGAAAAUAAGGAUAUUUUUUUAGUCUAGGCAUGUUAAUUCUGUGUCCUUACAUUAUAAAUCUUGGGACUAGCUGUGUCUAGAGAAAAGGUUUGACGUGGGGUGGCACCACAGUACACUUCUGCCUGUACUAUGAUGAAAGCAACACACAAAAAAAAACUCAAGAGAAAAUUUGAACAGAAGGAAGGCUGACACUUGAGUUCUAUAUUGGUCACAAUUUUGUUAUUUAAAAACAAAAAUUUAAUUUAUUUAUGUUGGUAAAUAUUGAUGGAUAUAAUAUAAUAAGUAUGAUUAAAAAUUUUAUUUAAUUCUUUGGGGUACUUUUUUAAAUGAGGGAAAGGAAACAGACACUACUGGUGGAGUGGACAUUUAGUCAACAGUCUCACAGAUUUGUGUAGACCAUUGGUCAACAGUCUCACAGAUUUGUGUAGACCAUUGGUCAACAGUCUCACAGAUUUGUGUAGACCAUUGGUCAACAGUCUCACAGAUUUGUGUAGACCAUUGGUCAACAGUCUCACAGAUUUGUGUAGACCAUUGGUCAACAGUCUCACAGAUUUGUGUAGACCAUUGGUCAACAGUCUCACAGAUUUGUGUAGACCAUUGGUCAACAGUCUCCCAGAUUUGUGUAGACCAUUGGUCAACAGUCUCACAGAUUUGUGUAGACCAUUGGUCAUCAGUCUCACAGAUUUGUGUAGACCAUUGGUCAACAGUCUCACAGAUUUGUGUAGACCAUUGGUCAACAGUCUCACAGAUUUGUGUAGACCAUUGGUCAACAGUCUCACAGAUUUGUGUAGACCAUUGGUCAACAGUCUCACAGAUUUGUGUAGACCAUUGGUCAACAGUCUCACAGAUUUGUGUAGACCAUUGGUCAACAGUCUCACAGAUUUGUGUAGACCAUUGGUCAACAGUCUCACAGAUUUGUGUAGACCAUUGGUCAUUAGUUUGUCUCACAGAUUAGACCAGUGGUCAUCAGUUGGUCUCACACUCAUGUCCAAGAAGUGAAUGCCAUGAGCCACCAGGCUGCUGGAUAGCCCUUGUCCUGGCUAUCUGUUGAAUGUACUUAGUAACCCCUUGGUUUAGCACUAUGCAUUUGACAUUAUUUUACUGUGUAAACCAGGAGGCAUUUUAAUCAUUGCUGAAAAAAUCAAAAAAGGGUAUCUAUUAUUGUGCCAGUAUUUGUAUAACCUUUAAAAUAAUUAAACAAUUAAUAGCUCA